rnacentral:rRNA from 1 species
UACGUAGGUGGCAAGCGUUAUCCGGAUUUAUUGGGUGUAAAGGGCGUGUAGGCGGGAAUGCAAGUCAGAUGUGAAAACUCAGGGCUCAACCCUGAGCCUGCAUUUGAAACUGUAUUUCUUGAGUGCUGGAGAGGCAAUCGGAAUUCCGUGUGUAGCGGUGAAAUGCGUAGAUAUACGGAGGAACACCAGUGGCGAAGGCGGAUUGCUGGACAGUAACUGACACUGAGGCGCGAAAGCGUGGGGAGCAAACAGG